GAUGAACGCUGGCGGCGCGCCUAACACAUGCAAGUCGAACGAUUAAAGCACCUUCGGGUGUGUAUAAAGUGGCGAACGGCUGAGUAACACGUGGGCAACCUGCCCCUUUCAUUGGGAUAGCCACGGGAAACCGUGGAUAAUACCGAAUACUUCGAGACUUCCGCAUGGAAGACUCGAGAAAGCUCCGGCGGAGAGGGAUGGGCCCGCGGCCUGUUAGCUUGUUGGUGGGGUAACGGCCUACCAAGGCAAUGAUGGGUAGCUAGGUUGAGAGACCGACCAGCCAGAUUGGGACUGAGACACGGCCCAGACUCCUACGGGAGGCAGCAGUGGGGAAUCUUGCACAAUGGGCGAAAGCCUGAUGCAGCGACGCCGCGUGCGGGAUGAAGGCCUUCGGGUUGUAAACCGCUUUCAGCAGGGACGAGGCGAAAGUGACGGUACCUGCAGAAGAAGCCCCGGCUAACUACGUG
rnacentral:rRNA from 1 species